rnacentral:rRNA from 1 species
UACGAAGGGGGCGAGCGUUGCUCGGAAUCACUGGGCGUAAAGCGCACGUAGGCGGUUUGUUAAGUCAGGGGUGAAAUCCUGGAGCUCAACUCCAGAACUGCCUUUGAUACUGGCGAUCUCGAGUCCGGGAGAGGAGAGUGGAACUGCGAGUGUAGAGGUGAAAUUCGUAGAUAUUCGCAAGAACACCAGUGGCGAAGGCGGCUCACUGGCCCGGUACUGACGCUGAGGUGCGAAAGCGUGGGGAGCAAACAGG